rnacentral:lncRNA from 1 species
UACGAUCCGGAAGUCCACCACCUGUUUUUGACACACAACUUAGUGCACCAAUUCCACAUAAUAACGCUCAUAAAUGACGCCGCACCUACGCACAAUCUCAAACCCCACCGCGGGUAACAACUCUCCCCACACCCACCAAACUGCAGCGGCGCUGCUUAACAAUUUCAUAACUUUAAAAUUAUGACAGCAGUGGUAACAAAAAAAACUCCAGAGGAAUCUACAUAAAAUUCUCCACAAGUUUUGUAUACAAUUUAUAAUUAAAUUCCAACAUCUAAUUAGGCUAAAAUAGUCCACAAGAUAAACCCUGCAAUCUGUUUUUUUGGACAGCAACAUACCCGGAUUCAAACAGCGAUAUCUCCUAAUUUUUAAUUCCGAAUUGAGCGCAUAAGUACUUGUUGGAAAGGUAUGACAAAGCUCUACAUAAUUCUCAUACUGUUUAUCAUUAAUUACCCACGAAAAAUCCCCAGAAACAGCUAAUACUACUGCUGUAUGCCCACCUGCAGAAAUCUGUUUCUUUGGACAGCCACAUACCCGGGUUCAAACGGCGAUAUCUCCUAAUUUAUAACUCCGAAUUGAGCGCAUAAGUACUUGUUGGAAAGGUAUGACAAAUAUCUAUAUUAUUCUCAUACUGUUUAUCACUAAUUACCCACAAAAAUUCCCAGAAACUGCUAGAACUACUCUUGUUUGCCCACCCACUAAAUUUCUGGACAGCACCUCUACCAAUUCGCAUACGCAACAUCUAUUCAAUUGAAUUGCAGCACAAAUAAACAUGAGAUAAACACAAAAAUCACCUUGGAUUCUCCUCCUUUCCUUCCUCCCUUCUUCCCUCCACCAAAACCAAUUGGAGACUUGCACCACGCGACGUAGAACCAAGCGGCAAGGAAUGACACCUUGGGGAGGAGGAGAUGGGGGGGCGGCUAGGGUUAGGUGGUGUGGCUGCAAGAGUUUGAGGGAGGAGGAGAUGGGGGGGCGGCUAGGGUUAGGUGGUGUGGCUGCAAGAG